GGUUAGCUCAAUUGGUUAGAGCGCUGCACCGGAAUCGCAGGGCCGUAGGUUCAAUUCCUACCAGAGGACCU